UGCCUAGAGUAUGAAAAGAAAUGAAAUUGGAGGAUUCUCACAUCACACUAUGAAAUCUUUGUCACUUGUUUCAGUUUAGAGAUAUGCAAAGUCACUGAAAAGAAGCAAGUUGGAUCCCAGGUCUGGAGUAUGGCUUUAACCUGUCUAAAAAGAAUGUGUCUAUUUACAAGGGUCUUGGGCAGCCUGGAAGCCCAGGAAAAAGGUAAUCCCAGAGGUCAACCAUUCCAGCCGUUGAGCAAUUGCAAUUGAUCACACAUACACUCAUGGAGUUCCAGUGGGACCCCGAUGAGAAGGGCAUUGUGGUAAACUUGAGCUUCAUAAUGCUGCAGCUGCAGCAAUUUGGGGAACACUGAGAUCUCUCCAUGGCUCUUCCGAGCCUCUCAAAAACAUUUAACACAAUCAUCAGGAUUAGGGACCUGACAGCCAAGAGGUAAGUUUGGCAGCCCUGAGGCAUUUGCUUUUAACAAGCUCCCAUGAUGAUGUCAACUCCCCAAUUUAUAUCUCUAGCCCUCUUGCUUGAACUUCAGACUAUUGACAACUGUUUACAGAACAUCUGCUCUUGAGUGUUGAAGUGACAUCUCAAAUUCAAGAUGACCAAAACUUAACUCCUUCCUCUGCCCUGAAACCUGUUCUAUCUGCAGUCAUCUCCAUUCAGUUCAUGUUUAUGAUACAGCUAAAAUUGCUCAUCAGCAUCUAAUGAAGCAACGAAGCAACUUUGUCAAUCAGACAUUGUUGUUUUACUUUCUUUUUCUUCCAUAAACUUACUCUAUGGUAGUUCUUUUGUUAGUAUGGACUUUGAACUCUUCCUGGGCAUCUCCAGACCUGGUCUCUCAUCAAAAGGCUGAUCUCAUCUAAUUAGGGCCUGAGGACUGCAAGGGAGGGAAGAUCAAGGGGAAUCCUAGAAACCUGGAUUCCGUUCAGGCAGGAAAGCAGAUUGAUGAUCAAUGGCCUGGGUCCAUGCCACUUACUGCUUGUGAGACUAGGAAAGUUAUUUACUUUCCAGACGAUUCAUAGAUCAACCUAGGGGAGGGGGUGUUGAUUAAAUGAGAAUAUGUAUAGUCACUGAUGCAUAGUAAAAGCUCAGUUAACUACUGGUAGUAAUGCUUUAUCUUAGGAUAUUCUGAGCUAGAAAUAAAGUAAAAAAUGAAAUUGAUUUGGGAGCCUAAAGAAAUUAUCCUGAAAUGCAUAAAGAGAAACAUGUAAAAUACUCAUUGAAAAGCUGAAAUGGAAAAUGGUCAUUUUCCCAUAGAUAUUGGUGGUUCACUUCAUAAAUCUUUCUGAAUUAAUCCUUUAAUUCAGUAUGUAUUUAUUGAGCAUUUACUAUAUGUUAGGCUGUUAGGCACUGCUCUAAAUGCUGAAGAAAAAUCCGUGAGCAAAACAGGUGAAAAUCCCUACAUUUCUGAAGCUAACCUUCUAUUGGGGGUCAUAUAUUGAACAAAAUAAAUAAUACUACGGGUUGGAGGAAAGGAGAUGAUUCAUUUGGAGUUUUUAAGUAGAGUGAUCUGGGACCUAACGUCAUCUUCUGAGCUGGGGGAAGAUACAAAAAAAUCUUAAAAUAUAGUCCCAGCCCUCCAGAAAUGCACAUUUUGGUUAAGGAAAUAAGACAGGAUUCACAUGCCAAUUUUGGUGAUAGAACAAACAAGGCAUUAUUAUGUACAUGGAGACAAGCAAUGUUCUAAAAGGUCAGAGAAGCUGGGGAGCAGGAAGGGAUGCAGCCCAAGGACUUGUUGGCAUGAGUGGUCUGGAAAAGUCUCCUGAAGGGAGUGGAACUUAGCCGCGAAAUAGUGAAGCAAGUUUUCUUCCAUCCUUCCUCCCCUCCCGUUAGCUGCUGGGAAGCAGCUUGUGUUGCAAUGGGCCAAAAUGAAACACUAAUCUUGGCCUUUUCCAGGAAGAGGCUGUCAUGGGGAGAUACCGUAACGGGCAUAGAAAAACAAUCACAAUAGCUUCAGUGGAUCCCCACGUGACCUGGCCAAAUUGGCUGGAGAGGGAACAAGUCUUUCAGGUCAAGCUCAGGCUUUGAACUCAGUAGGAACCAACCCCUGCAGAUUCAGUAACACCUUCUACUUCCAAAUCUUUAUAGCAUGAAAAUCCAAGGGGGCCACAGAUUGCUCUGAGUUAACCACCAGGAGCUGCCAAUAGGAGGGUCCUCCUGCAUCUCUUUCUUAAGGCUUUGGGUUUGUACCUGUACUCUAGAGAUGUGGCCAAGCCCCACUUGUGGUCUGUGUUAGAGGAGCCCCAAAGAACACAGACACGAACCUUGGGGGUGGUAGCCAGGUGUAAAGUAGGGCUUGAGAAGAGUGAGUUCCUAGUACCCAUUUUAGAUUAGACUGCACAGGGGAGAAGACAGGCAGGAUGUGUGAAUCAGGAAAUAGAUUGGUUCUUUGGGCCUAAAUGAGUGUCAAAUCUCCAAAGAGUCAAGUACAUUAAAUUCAUCCCAGCUUGGUGAGCAAUUCCACUCUUAGGAAUUUAAUUGAGAAUAAGAACAAAGAUUUACAAGCUUGUCAUCACAGUAAUUGCCUGGAAAUAGUGAAAAAAUUGCAAAAGAUCUAAGUAUUCAAAAAUAAGGAAUUGGUUGAGUUAACAAUUUCUCUUGAAGACUUCUGCUUCUGGCCAAAGUGGAGUAAUAGGUUCAGAUUUGCCCUCUUGCCUGAAACAAUAACAACAACAACAACAAACACAAUAAAGAUAUAUGAAGGAAUGGUUUUCAAGACAUGGACAUCAGGUGACAAAUGACAGUGAUUCCUGGGAGUUGAGGAGAGUUUUACAAUUGCUCCAGCUUACAGCCCUGAAGAAGUUCCUAGGGCACAGUUCAGGAAGGUGGAACCCAGAUGGAGCCUGGAAAAUGCUCUGAGUUGAGGAAACAGAGAUAAGAGUAUGGGGAGACCAAAGCAACUAGAGUUUGCAGGAUAGAUGAUGGAGAGGAGAGAGGUGCACAGAGAGAGCCCAGGAGAUCCUCAGGGGUCUCCUCAAGAUCGGUUCAACUAAGUACCAAUCAGCACAUGUGUGUGAGGAAACCAUCUGCGAGGAUUAGAAGCAGCGCUGCUCAGUGCUCACUCAGGGCUGAGAACAGUGCCAGUUCCCACCUGCCAGAUUGGAAAGUCCCAUGAUUCCUGGGGCACUCAGUAGUUUGUACAGAAGGUCCUUGCCUCAGAAGUGGGCAAUAAAUAACCCUAGACUGAGCACUUCUCAGCACCCUUGAAAAAAAAAAUCAUAAAAUCAAAACCUGAGGAUCCAACUGUUUCCAAGUAGUUUAACUUAUCCCAGAGCAAAGUUCAAAAAUAUAUAUAGGAAUCCAAAAAUAUUUAACACCCAGCAAAGUACAUUUACAAUGUCUAGUAUCUAAGCAAAAAUUACCAGGUAUGAGAAGAAGUAGAAAAAUAUGACCCAUAUUAAAAAGGAGCCUAGGCUUUUCCCCUCACUCAGCUGUGAUGAGGCACCCCAACCCUUCCUUGCUGGGGUGAUGUGCCCUGUAAUGACCUUCUCCUCAGUGAUUAUGUCAGUGAAGGCCAUGUGGGGACCUGGAACUCUCACCCUCACCAGCUGUAAUGAGACACUCUACCCCAGUGGAGUGUCCACAGAGGCCAAGUGAGGACUGUGGACUUACACAACCACCUGGCAAUUAUGAAGCAGCAGUCCCCUUUCCUGACUGGCACAGUGUCAGACAGGGCCUGCUAAAACAGAAAAUUUAAAUAAGAUAUAAUGUCUUAUAUAAUUCCCCCAAAGCCCAGGAAUUAAUAGAAAAUCACUCAUCAUGUCAAGAACCAGGAAAAUCUCAACUUGAAUGAGAAAAGACAACAAAUGCCAAUGUUGAGAUGACACAGAUGUUGACAAAAAUUUUAAAGAAACCAUUAUAAAAAUGCUUCAAUGAGUAGUUAUAAACAUGCUUAAAACAAAUUUAAAAAUAGAAUGUCUCAGCAGGAAAACACAAGACAUAAAGAGGAGCCAAAUAGGCUGGGUGCGGUGGUUCACCCCAUUAAUACCAGCACUUUGGGGUGCUGAGGUAAGAGGAUCGC
rnacentral:lncRNA from 1 species